UCCAUUUUCACUAAUAUAAAGGAAUUGAAUUCUUGGAAGAUGAGGCUGGAAAAGUUCAUCGUCAUUACGUCAACAUGCUAACAGAUGGUCUGCAAAGCACUUCUCAGGUUUCAUUCAGUAUUUCUGUGAAGAAGCCAGGGGAUCAUGAUGUUCUACUGUGAGAAUGACAGAAAGAGCAAACAAGAACACCUGGGUUACACGAGCUGACUUGCUUCUCUUCAAUGGACAGUAUGAACACAGAGAAAAGAAUUCUACAAAAAAGAACAACAGAGAACAAGAUAGAGAUCUUGGAGAAUAAGAAUAUGACCACCAACAGAAGGAUGGGAAGAUAACGGCCAAACGGUAGACGAACACAACAUGGGAUUCCAUUCUUGUCCUGAGAAACUCCCUAGGCAUUGGAGUAUAGAAGAUGAGAAUGCCUGAGGUUCAUUUUACGUGAAGAACUACAGACUCCUUCCAAGUUUUAUUCUCUUAAAGCUUUGUAAUAAGACAAGGAAGAAAGAAAGAGAGAAACAGAGAAAAAGUGGGAGAAGGAAGGAAGAAAGGGAAGGAGGGAGUGAGGGAGGAAGGAAGGAAGGAAGCAAGGA